AGCGCUCUGUAAAAUGGACCAAUCAGGAGGAUGUGGGCAGGACCAAUCAGGAGGAUGUGGGCGGGGCCAAUGAGGGAAUAAAAGCUGGCCAUCCGAGCCAGCGGCAGCUGCGUUUGGGUCCCCUUCGAUGGUGUUGGGGUUUUGUUGUUUCGCUCUUUGCAAUAAAUUUUGCUGUUGCUCACCUUUUAGGUCCACACUACCUUUAUGAGCUUUAACACUCACAGUGAAGGUCUGCAGGUUCACUCCUGUAAACCAGCGAGACCAGGAAGCCACCACAAGAAACAACUCUGGAGCCGCCACCUUUAAGAGCCAUAACACUCACUGUGAAGGUCUGUGGCUUCACUCCUGAAGUCAGCGACACCACGAACCCACAGGGAGGAGCAAACAACUCCAGACGCACCACUUUUAAGAGGUGUAACACUCCCUGCGAAGGUCUGUGGCUUCACUCCUGAGGUCGGCGAAACUACGAACCCGCUGGGAGGAAGGAACAACGCGGAUGCGCCACCUUUAAGAGCUGUAACACUCCCUGCGAAGGUCCGCGGCCUCACUCAUCAAGUCGUGCAUAGACCACGAACUCUCUAGAAAGAAAAAACUUCGGACACACCUGAACAUUUGAAGGAACAAACUCCGGACACACCAUGUUUAAGAACUAUAAUGCCGUGAAGGUCCGCGGCAGGACCGGGACCAGGAACUCUUCAGAGGGAACCAAUUCCGGAUACACAGCUUCGUGGAAUGGUUCUGCACUGUGUGUGUGUGUGUUUCCCGUCAACCCUGUGCACACUAUUAGAAGAACACAAGCGUUAAGGCUCCCUCUCAGUCCUGCCGAUGGAAGACAUUGUGAUUUUGACCUUGUUGGAUGCUGCACCUGAAGGUGGAGGAAGAGGAAGAGCCUUGGGGGCUACCAUUCUGGCUGGAGAAGCGGCACGAGGCUCCCUCUUGUGGAUGCAGCAAGGUAAGAAAGUAAAGUGGAUGUUCUCCUCUGGAGCAAGCGGCCUCCGACUCUGCCUGUGGACUGAAACUCGCACUUGCAUGCUGUGGCUUAGCUGAGGGCUUGUAGCUCAGGACAGAGGCAGUGAUGGUGACAAAAGCAGGGGAGUGAUACGGGAGAGGUAUAGCCCCAGCCCCAGGACACAGCAGAUCUCAAUAUUGGGAAGGGAGGAGUUCAGUAUCAGUAAAGUGAGCCAUAAGAGAGACAGGAAAGCAGCCUUUGCAGACAGAGGUGGAACCAAUUGAAAGGAGGAGGGGAGCUCCUUGCAAAGAACGUUGCAGGUAGCAUCUAGAGGCUGUGGGGAUCAUUCUUAGGCCAUCCAAGAACUCUGAGAAGAUUGGGGGGAAGCUGGAAUUUCACU
rnacentral:lncRNA from 10 species